rnacentral:tRNA from 1 species
GGAGUUGUGGCUCACUGGUAGAGCACUCACCUACUACAUGUGAGGCACUGGGUUCAAUCCUCAGCACUACA